GAUGAACGCUGGCGGCGUGCCUAAUACAUGCAAGUCGAGCGAACGGACGAGAAGCUUGCUUCUCUGACGUUAGCGGCGGACGGGUGAGUAACACGUGGAUAACCUACCUAUAAGACUGGGAUAACUUCGGGAAACCGGAGCUAAUACCGGAUGAUAUUUUGAACCGCAUGGUUCAAAAGUGAAAGACGGUCUUGCUGUCACUUAUAGAUAGAUCCGCGCUGCAUUAGCUAGUUGGUAAGGUAACGGCUUACCAAGGCAACGAUGCAUAGCCGACCUGAGAGGGUGAUCGGCCACACUGGAACUGAGACACGGUCCAGACUCCUACGGGAGGCAGCAGUAGGGAAUCUUCCGCAAUGGGCGAAAGCCUGACGGAGCAACGCCGCGUGAGUGAUGAAGGUCUUCGGAUCGUAAAACUCUGUUAUUAGGGAAGAACAUAUGUGUAAGUAACUGUGCACAUCUUGACGGUACCUAAUCAGAAAGCCACGGCUAACUACGUG
rnacentral:rRNA from 1 species